rnacentral:rRNA from 1 species
GGGGAAUUUUCCGCAAUGGGCGAAAGCCUGACGGAGCAAUACCGCGUGAGGGAGGAAGGCUCUUGGGUCGUAAACCUCUUUUCUCAGGGAAGAAAAAAAUGACGGUACCUGAGGAAUAAGCAUCGGCUAACUCCGUGCCAGCAGCCGCGGUAAUACGGAGGAUGCAAGCGUUAUCCGGAAUGAUUGGGCGUAAAGCGUCCGCAGGUGGCUGUGUAAGUCUGCUGUUAAAGAAUGAGGCUCAACCUCAUCAAAGCAGUGGAAACUACACGGCUAGAGUGCGUUCGGGGCAGAGGGAAUUCCUGGUGUAGCGGUGAAAUGCGUAGAGAUCAGGAAGAACACCGGUGGCGAAAGCGCUCUGCUAGGCCGCAACUGACACUGAGGGACGAAAGCUAGGGGAGCGAAUGGGAUUAGAUACCCCAGUAGUCCUAGCCGUAAACGAUGGAUACUAGGCGUGGCUUGUAUCGACCCGAGCCGUGCCGUAGCUAACGCGUUAAGUAUCCCGCCUGGGGAGUACGCACGCAAGUGUGAAACUCAAAGGAAUUGACGGGGGCCCGCACAAGCGGUGGAGUAUGUGGUUUAAUUCGAUGCAACGCGAAGAACCUUACCAAGACUUGACAUGUCGCGAAUCCUCUUGAAAGGGAGGAGUGCCUUCGGGAGCGCGAACACAGGUGGUGCAUGGCUGUCGUCAGCUCGUGUCGUGAGAUGUUGGGUUAAGUCCCGCAACGAGCGCAACCCUCGUUUUUAGUUGCCAGCAUUAAGUUGGGCACUCUAGAGAGACUGCCGGUGACAAACCGGAGGAAGGUGGGGAUGACGUCAAGUCAGCAUGCCCCUUACGUCUUGGGCUACACACGUACUACAAUGCUACGGACAAAGGGCAGCUACACAGCGAUGUGAUGCAAAUCUCAGAAACCGUAGCUCAGUUCAGAUCGCAGGCUGCAACUCGCCUGCGUGAAGGAGGAAUCGCUAGUAAUUGCAGGUCAGCAUACUGCAGUGAAUUCGUUCCCGGGCCUUGUACACACCGCCCGUCACACCAUGGAAGCUGGCAACGCCCGAAGUCAUUACUCCAACCUUUCGGGGAGGAGGAUGCCUAAGGCAGUGCUGGUGACUGGGGUGAAGUCGUAACAAGGUAGCCGUACCGGAAGGUGUGGCUGGAUCACCUCCU